rnacentral:rRNA from 1 species
GGUAAAAAAGCUCGUAGUUGAAUUUCUGUUGAGGGAAAACGGUCCAUACCACGUAUGCGUAUCUGUCUUUCUCUCGGCAUCUUCUCGGACGUCGUUGCUGCGCUUGAUUGCGUGGUGCGAACCUCGGGACUUUUACUUUGAGGAAAUUAGAGUGUUCACGGCAGGCUAUCGCCAGAAUACAUUAGCAUGGAAUAAUACUAUAGGAUCUUGGUUCUAUUUUGUUGGUUUCUAGAAUUAAGAUAAUGAUUAAUAAGGACAAUUGGGGGCAUUCGUACCAACACGUCAGAGGUGGAAUUCUUGGAUUGUGUUGCGACGAACUACUGCGAAAGCAUUUGCCAAGGAUGUUUUCAUUGAUCAAGAACGAAAGUAAGGGGAUCGAAGACGAUUAGAUACCGUCGUAGUCUUUACCAUAAACUAUGCCGACUAGAAAUCUGCAAACGUUCAUUUACGACUUUGCAGGCGUCUUAUGAGAUAUCAAAGUUUUUGGGUUCCGGGGGGAGUAUGGUCGCAAGAUUGAAACUUAAAGGAAUUGACGGAAGGGCACCACCAGGAGUGGAGCCUGCGGCUUAAUUUGACUCAACACGGGGAAACUCACCAGGUCCAGACAUAAUAAGGAUUGACAGAUUGAUAGCU